rnacentral:rRNA from 1 species
CUGCGUACUUUUGUAUAUGGGUCAGCGACUUAUAUUCUGUAGCAAGGUUAACCAAAUAGGGGAGCCGUAGGGAAACCGAGUCUUAACUGGGCGAAUGAGUUGCAGGGUAUAGACCCGAAACCCGGUGAUCUAGCCAUGGGCAGGUUGAAGGUUGGGUAACACUAACUGGAGGACCGAACCGACUAAUGUUGAAAAAUUAGCGGAUGACUUGUGGCUGGGGGUGAAAGGCCAAUCAAACCGGGAGAUAGCUGGUUCUCCCCGAAAGCUAUUUAGGUAGCGCCUCGUGAACUCAUCUUCGGGGGUAGAGCACUGUUUCGGCUAGGGGGUCAUCCCGACUUACCAACCCGAUGCAAACUACGAAUACCGAAGAAUGUUAUCACGGGAGACACACGGCGGGUGCUAACGUUCGUCGUGAAGAGGGAAACAACCCAGACCGCCAGCUAAGGUCCCAAAGUCAUGGUUAAGUGGGAAACGAAGUGGGAAGGCUCAGACAGCCAGGAUGUUGGCUUAGAAGCAGCCAUCAUUUAAAGAAAGCGUAAUAGCUCACUGGUCGAGUCGGCCUGCGCGGAAGAUGUAACGGGGCUAAACCAUGCACCGAAGCUGCGGCAGCGACAUGUAAAUGUUGUUGGGUAGGGGAGCGUUCUGUAAGCCUGUGAAGGUGUGCUGCGAGGCAUGCUGGAGGUAUCAGAAGUGCGAAUGCUGACAUAAGUAACGAUAAUGCGGGUGAAAAACCCGCACGCCGGAAGACCAAGGGUUCCUGUCCAACGUUAAUCGGGGCAGGGUGAGUCGACCCCUAAGGCGAGGCAGAAAUGCGUAGUCGAUGGGAAACAGGUUAAUAUUCCUGUACUGGUGAUAAUUGCGAUGGGGGGACGGAGAAGGCUAGGCUGGCCGGGCGACGGUUGUCCCGGUUUAAGGAUGUAGGUGGGUGAAUUAGGCAAAUCCGGUUCACUGUACACUGAGGUCUGAUGACGAGUCACUACGGUGGCGAAGUAGCUCAUGCCCCGCUUCCAGGAAAAGCCUCUAAGCUCUAGAUUAUCAUUAAUCGUACCCCAAACCGACACAGGUGGUCAGGUAGAGAAUACUCAGGCGCUUGAGAGAACUCGGGUGAAGGAACUAGGCAAAAUGGUGCCGUAACUUCGGGAGAAGGCACGCUGGCAUUAGGUGAAGUGGUUUACCCAUGGAGCUGAAGCCAGUCGCAGAUACCAGCUGGCUGCAACUGUUUAUUAAAAACACAGCACUGUGCAAACACGAAAGUGGACGUAUACGGUGUGACGCCUGCCCGGUGCUGGAAGGUUAAUUGAUGGGGUUAUCCGUAAGGAGAAGCUCUUGAUCGAAGCCCCAGUAAACGGCGGCCGUAACUAUAACGGUCCUAAGGUAGCGAAAUUCCUUGUCGGGUAAGUUCCGACCUGCACGAAUGGCGUAAUGAUGGCCAGGCUGUCUCCACCCGAGACUCAGUGAAAUUGAACUCGCUGUGAAGAUGCAGUGUACCCGCGGCAAGACGGAAAGACCCCGUGAACCUUUACUAUAGCUUGACACUGAACAUUGAGCCUUGAUGUGUAGGAUAGGUGGGAGGCUUUGAAGUGUGGACGCCAGUCUGCAUGGAGCCAACCUUGAAAUACCACCCUUUAAUGUUUGAUGUUCUAACGUUGCCCCGUAAUCCGGGGUGCGGACAGUGUCUGGUGGGUAGUUUGACUGGGGCGGUCUCCUCCCAAAGCGUAACGGAGGAGCACGAAGGUUGGCUAAGCAUGGUCGGACAUCAUGCGGUUAGUGCAAAGGCAUAAGCCAGCUUGACUGCGAGAGUGACGGCUCGAGCAGGUACGAAAGUAGGUCUUAGUGAUCCGGUGGUUCUGAAUGGAAGGGCCAUCGCUCAACGGAUAAAAGGUACUCCGGGGAUAACAGGCUGAUACCGCCCAAGAGUUCAUAUCGACGGCGGUGUUUGGCACCUCGAUGUCGGCUCAUCACAUCCUGGGGCUGAAGUAGGUCCCAAGGGUAUGGCUGUUCGCCAUUUAAAGUGGUACGCGAGCUGGGUUUAGAACGUCGUGAGACAGUUCGGUCCCUAUCUGCCGUUGGCGUUGGAAGAUUGAAAGGGGCUGCUCCUAGUACGAGAGGACCGGAGUGGACGCACCGCUGGUGUUCGGGUUGUCAUGCCAAUGGCACUGCCCGGUAGCUAAGUGCGGAAGAGAUAACCGCUGAAAGCAUCUAAGCGGGAAACUUGCCUUGAGAUGAGUCUUCCCUGACUCUUUAAGGGUCCUAAAGGAACGUUUAAGACGAAGACGUUGAUAGGCUGGGUGUGUAAGCGUAGCGAUACGUUGAGCUAACCAGUACUAAUGAACCGUGAGGCUUAACCUG